GAGACAGCAGCAGCCGCGGUAAUACGGAGGGAGCUAGCGUUGUUCGGAAUUACUGGGCGUAAAGCGCACGUAGGCGGCUUUGUAAGUUAGAGGUGAAAGCCUGGAGCUCAACUCCAGAAUUGCCUUUAAGACUGCAUCGCUUGAAUCCAGGAGAGGUGAGUGGAAUUCCGAGUGUAGAGGUGAAAUUCGUAGAUAUUCGGAAGAACACCAGUGGCGAAGGCGGCUCACUGGACUGGUAUUGACGCUGAGGUGCGAAAGCGUGGGGGGCAUACAGGAUUAGAUACCCCUGUAGUCCCUGUCUCUUAUAC
rnacentral:rRNA from 1 species